UACAGAGGUCUCAAGCGUUGUUCGGAUUCAUUGGGCGUAAAGGGUGCGUAGGCGGCGCGGUAAGUCGGGUGUGAAAUUUCGGAGCUUAACUCCGAAACUGCAUUCGAUACUGCGGUGCUUGAGGACUGGAGAGGAGACUGGAAUUCAUGGUGUAGCAGUGAAAUGCGUAGAGAUCAUGAGGAAGACCAGUGGCGAAGGCGGGUCUCUGGGCCGUAACUGACGCUGGAGGAAGCGA
rnacentral:rRNA from 1 species